CCCUUCUGAAAAGGAUGCACGUGGCAUCCCAACUCAUGACCUCUGCCCUCUUUCCCCCUUCUGGUGCACUUUGGGUUGCUUCUGGAGGUGCCCCUCCAAGGACCCAUGUGCCCCUGGCUGGGGCACUCUCUAAGGCCGUGGACCCCUCAGGAAUGGCAGCAUCGUGGUGGACUACCUGGUCCUGCUGGAGAUGCCCUUCAGCCCCCAGCUGGAGAGCCAGUACGAGCAGGUGAAGACCACGCUGAAGGAGGGGCUGCAGAACGCCAGCCAGGAUGCGAACAGCUGCCAGGACUCCCAGACCCUGUGUUUUAAGCCUGACUCCAUCAAGGUGAACAACAACAGCAAGACAGAGCUGACCCCGGAAGGUGAGGGUGGGGUAAAGGGCUGAGUGGUCUCCCAUGGCCAUGACCCCUGCCACCAGGGACAUCUGCCCAUUGAAGCCUGUGGGCAGGGAGAGACCUUUGGGGGAGGCAAGUCAUGUGGCCUAGGGAGGCUCUUCCUGGGGCUGGUUAGUGGCUUCCACCUGAGGACAGCAGAGGCCACGAGGAGAGGGUGAGGGUGCUGGGGGUGGCCUCCCCUCAUCGAAUCCCAGGGUCUACCCCACAGCAUCCCACCUCGGAAAUGGAAUCCUCCUCGCGCAUAUUCAGAGGCACCAUUAUCAGGCCCCUGAAUAGAAUGGAUGAGGUCCUUGUCUCUGUGCAUCCCCCUCCCCAACCCCCAGCCAUCUGCCGCCGCGCCGCUCCCACGGGCUAUGAGGAGUUCUACUUCCCUCUGGUGGAGGCUACCCGGCUCCGCUGUGUCACCAAAUGCACGUCGGGCGUGGACAACGCCAUCGACUGUCACCAGGGCCAGUGCGUUCUGGAGACGAGCGGUCCCGCGUGUCGCUGCUACUCCACCGACACGCACUGGUUCUCUGGCCCGCGUUGCGAGGUGGCCGUCCACUGGAGGGCGCUGGUCGGGGGCCUGACGGCCGGCGCCGCGCUGCUGGUGCU
rnacentral:lncRNA from 1 species